GCCCGGCUAGCUCAAUCGGUAGAGCGUGAGACUCUUAACAUGGACAGGAGCUUCCUCGUCAAACUUAGACCAUCUCAAGGUUGUGGGUUCGACCCCCACGUCGGGCU
rnacentral:tRNA from 1 species